rnacentral:rRNA from 1 species
GUGUCAGCCGCCGCGGUAAUACGUAGGCAGCAAGCGUUGUUCGGAGUUACUGGGCGUAAAGGGUGUGUAGGUGGCGCGCUAAGUUCCGUGUGAAAUCUCCCGGCUCAACCGGGAGGGUGCGCGGAAAACUGGCAGGCUAGAGUACGGGAUGGGAGAGUAGAAUUCCUGGUGUAGCGGUGAAAUGCGUAGAUAUCAGGAGGAAUACCGGUGGUGUAGACGGCUCUCUGGACCGUAACUGACACUGAAACACGAAAGCGUGGGUAGCAAACAGGAUUAGAUACCCUGGUAGUCCACGCCCUAAACGAUGCAUAUUUGGUGUAGGUCAUUCAGUUGAUCUGUGCCGGAGCUAACGCGUUAAAUAUGCCGCCUGGGGAGUACAGUCGCAAGGCUGAA